rnacentral:sRNA from 1 species
AUUAGGGUUGGAGCCUUUACAAGUUAAAUUUUGGUUCCAAAACAAGCGUACUCAAAUGAAGGUAAAGUGUUCAUCUUUCAGAAUUCUCAGGCUUAAAAUUUUCACCCAUGUUUAUCCGUAUAUUAGUACAUUAACUAUUGAGCACAUAAAUGGGAAGUUUAACUGUAAAGGAUUAAAUAUUUUCAGUCUCAACAUGAGCGGCACGAGAACACACAGCUGAGGAAUGAAAACGAUAAGCUACGUUCAGAUAAUAUAAGGUAUAAGGAAGCUCUCAGCAAUGCUACUUGUCCCAACUGUGGAGGACCAGCUUCCGUUGGCGAGAUGUCAUUUGAUGAGCAGCACUUGAGGAUAGAGAAUGCUCGCUUAAGAGAGGAGGUAAUAAGAGCAGACUUGAGACACUUGUAUUAGGAAUAUUGCUUUUUAGUAUGUGUCAAAAGAUUCUUGCUUUAAUGAGAUAGUGCGUUUGGAAAUUUCUAAUCAUUUUGAUCCACAGUUAAAUAAAUGAUUAAGCAAAAAAAUUAGCCUGUAAGUGUUUUUAUAUGUACUUUUGAACUUAUGUACAUGGGUACUCUCUUUUCAGAUUGAUAGGAUUUCUGGAAUUGCUGCAAAGUAUGUUGGCAAACCUUUGCUUUCUUAUGCACAUCUUCCUCCUGGAUCAUCUCGUUCACUUGAUCUUGGACCGGGAAAUUAUGGGCUGCAGACCGGCAUGGACAAUGAGUUAUUUGGUGCGGCUGAUCUUCUUAGGUCGGUCUCCGGACCAGCUGAUGCCAACAAGCCCAUGGUCAUUGAGUUGGCUGUUGCAGCAAUGGAGGAAUUAAUCCGAAUGGCUCAAACUGGAGAGCCUUUGUGGAUGCCUAGCACGGACAAUUCUGCUGAGACUUUGAGUGAAGAGGAAUAUGUCCGCACUUUCCCUCGUCUUAUUGGGCCAAAGCCCUUGGGAUUGAAAUCUGAGGCAUCUCGAGAGUCAGCUAUUGUGAUAAUGAAUCACAUCAGCUUGAUUGAAAUUCUGAUGGAUGUGGUGGGAUUUCUUACAUGCAUAUAUGGAAAUCAUUAUAUAAUUUAUUUAUUUUUUAAUUUCAUUUUAAUCAGCAUUUUUGGUGUCAUUGUGAUUACAGAAUCAAUGGACAAGCGUGUUCUCCAGCAUUGUCUCAAGAGCAAUGAUUGUUGAAGUUUUAUCAACUGGAGUGGCUGGCAACUAUAAUGGAGCUUUACAAGUGGUAUGCAUAAAAAUUUUAUCUUGGAGAUUGCUAUUCUUCACCGCUUAAGCAAGGACAUUUUAUCGGAAACUCUUAGAAAUUGUUAAUCCUAAUGCUUUUAUCUUUGUAGAUGACUGCUGAGUUCCAGGUCCCUUCUCCAUUGGUUCCAACUCGCGAAAACUAUUUUGCAAGAUAUUGCAAACAACAUGGUGAUGGAACUUGGGCUGUGGUGGAUGUUUCUUUGGACAACCUGAGAGCUACCUCUAUACCCAGGUGUAGACGAAGGCCAUCUGGUUGUUUGAUCCAAGAAUUGCCAAAUGGUUACUCAAAGGUAUAACAAAUUCUUGAGUUAAAAUUUCAAUUUAAAUAAAUAUAGGUCUCUAUGUUACUAGUGAUCAUGCUCCUAUCUGCAGGUUAUAUGGGUGGAACACAUUGAGGUAGACGAUAGAGCUGUUCAUACAAUCUACAAACCACUGGUCAAUUCUGGUCUCGCAUUUGGGGCAAGACGCUGGGUAGCGACUUUGGAUAGACAAUGUGAACGUCUUGCAAGUGUAAUGGCCAAUAACAUUUCAGGAGGAGAUGGUGGUGGUACUAACAGAUUCCAAAUUUUACUGUAAAAUGUUAGUUGACAUGAUUUUUUUAGCCUGUGCUAAUUUGUGUAAUUUCUGGUGCAGUGAUAUCAUGUCCAGAAGGUAGAAAGAGUAUGUUGAAGCUGGCAGAAAGAAUGGUAAUGAGCUUCUGCUCUGGGGUCGGUGCUUCAACUGCACACACAUGGACUACACUUUCAGGAAGUGGAGCUGAUGAUGUUAGGGUUAUGACCAGAAAAAGUGUGGAUGAUCCAGGCAGGCCUCCUGGUAUUGUGCUAAGUGCUGCUACAUCAUUUUGGCUCCCAGUUCCGCCAAAAAGAGUUUUUGAUUUUCUUCGUGAUGAGAAUUUGAGAAAUGAGGUAUGGAAUGUUUGUUCAAGACCUUGAAUUUAAAUGUCCAAGUCAAUCUUUGAUGUCACAUUACUUCUGCAGCUCCUAUGAUCAAGUGAAAUACUAAAAAUACAUGGAUUCUUAAAUCGUACUAGGGAAACAAAUAAUCACACGAUCGUCACUAUAUAUUACAGGA